rnacentral:rRNA from 1 species
UACAGAGGGGGCAAGCGUUGUUCGGAAUUACUGGGCGUAAAGGGCGCGUAGGCGGUCUUGUAAGUCCCGCGUGAAAGCCCCCGGCUCAACUGGGGAAUGGCACUGGAAACUGCGAGGCUUGAGUUCGGGAGAGGGAGGCGGAAUUCCGGGUGUAGCGGUGAAAUGCGUAGAUAUCCGGAGGAACACCGGUGGCGAAGGCGGUUUCCUGGCCCGACACUGACGCUGAGGCGCGAAAGCUAGGGGAGCAAACGGG